rnacentral:tRNA from 1 species
CAGAAGAUAGUUUAAUAUUAAAAUAAUAAUUUUGGAGAUUAUUGAUAAAGGUCGUUCUUUUCUUCUGA